rnacentral:lncRNA from 1 species
ACAUCUCAGUUUCAACUACCAAAACAACACUUGUGGGGUUUUUUUUCCCUCUAAAGAAUUCUGCGUGCUUAUUACUGUACAGAAACUGGUUAACAUCGAAGACGACUCAAGUAAAAAGCACAAUACGAAUGGUUCAAAACGGAAAUGGUUAACUCUUCAAAACAAAACCAACAAAAACAAACAAACAAAAAAAAGCAGGUUGAAGUUCAGAAUCAAAAUGAAAACAAAACCCAAAACAAACAAACAAACAAACAACAACAACAAAAACCCUAAGCCUUUCAAAUGUUCAGCCUUGUACUUAAAAGUCCUUCCCUUAAAUCUGUUUGGAAAGAUUAGACAAUGUGUUUGCUGAUAAAAUUUUCCAGCAGGAUCAAAGUGUACAUUUAUAUACAGACUUUAUUAGAGAUCUAACGUAUCACGGAGGCAUUGCAUCAACACCAGAUUCAUAUUAAACUGGAUAUAGAAAAUAAGUUAAUGCCAGAUUAAGACCGCCUAGCAGGGCAACUUGCGAUUGCCAUAAAUGUUACAGCAAGCUUAGAGCACUCUAGUCCAUUAGUAUUUAGUCCAAAAUACAGAAGACCAAAGUUAAUGCUUGCACUCUGUUUGCAAAGCAAGGUUAUAGCACUAAUAAAUAAGCUUUCUUAGAACUCUAGAGGUUGAACAACGUACAAAAGAAUGUCUUCAUAAUGUAGUUCAUAGUCCCAGGGGCCAGAAGGUAAGGGGCGGGGGC